rnacentral:lncRNA from 1 species
CAGUAACCUGGCUUUUACAUCCAAGUGUCAAUAAAACCAGACUGAAUUUCAGCUAGGUGCCCAGGGUCCUGAGCCACAGUUUUCUGUUUACCUCUGUCACUGAAUAAUAAAGGAAGAUGAAAAAGCUCUUGUACAUCAAGGGUUUAGGGCAGGGCCUGCCAGACACUAGUAAAACCUCAGGCCUUGCAAGCAGUCUCCACACUAGAGAAAACACAAGCCCACAGACGGGACCCUCGCUCCUCUGAAGGCUGAGGCCCCACUCAGCCGCUGACCCCAUGGCCCCCUUCCCACCCAGGCAGAGCUGUACCUCCGAAGUUGGGAAGCGAGUCCCCCCAGCAGGUCUCCCGCAUUCACAUCUUCAGGUACCAGGCUCCAGGACAGAAGCCCAGGGAGGGAAUGAUUUCCCAUUCUGCAUUUUCUCCCCCCUUGUUAGGUGAGCUCCUUUCUUUCAGCAUUAAAGACAUUCUAAUGUCUUGCUUUAAAAAAGAAAAGAAAGGAAAUUUCUUUGACUCCACCUCUAGGACAGUCCUAUCUUUCGCCGCCUCCGUUUCAAGGACACAUGUUUAAAGCGGUUUGCCCCGGCUACAUUUGGGUCCUCACCUCCCACUCACUGCUCCUUUAACUUGGCUUGCAGCGCCACACGAGCGAGGUCUUCGAUAUGCUGUUCCAUCUGGCCUGCAGCAAGGAAUGUGAGCACAUCCUUCUUCAUUUGCAGGACAUCAAAGCCUCCAGACACUGUGAAAGUUUCCCUUUAUGUUAUGAUGGGAAUCAAAAACAACGCCUGUCCAUUUCACCAGCAACACAUAUUUUUAAGGAGAACAAGUAAAAUAAGUAUGCUUCGAUGGUCUUCUGAAUUUCUUUUCACUUCUCACUCUCUUCCUCUUGUGCCCCUCUAGCACUCUAGCACCACAGUGAAACUGGAUGGCUUCAGCUUACUUUUCACAUUUCAGGCUGGAUGAUGAGAGCUUCCUUAUUAAGUUUGUGUCUUCAAGGCUCUCAUGCUCUUGUUUCUAAUUGUGAAACAUUUAGAAUCAAGGAAUCCUUAACUCUGAGAAGCAGUUUGGUUCUAAAACAACCUAAGAAAUGGCUUGGAUUCUUUCUAGCUUCCCAGGAAGGCAGAAUUUGCACACAAUCAAGAUGACAAUGCUUAAGCACAGGAUUUCAUAGAGAUACAGAAAAAUUAUUUCCAGGAAUAUUUGCUUUAUGGCUUUCAUCAUACCUCAUUUUUCUCCAUAAUCAAGAAGAUCUAUACCCAACACCCCUCCUGGAUUCUUAUGCCUG